UUUAACUGAAGAGUUUGAUCAUGGCUCAGAUUGAACGCUGGCGGCAGGCUUAACACAUGCAAGUCGAGCGGGGAAAGGUAGCUUGCUACCUAACCUAGCGGCGGACGGGUGAGUAAUGCUUAGGAAUCUGCCUAUUAGUGGGGGACAACAUUCCGAAAGGAAUGCUAAU
rnacentral:rRNA from 1 species